UCCGCUAGGCGAGGAGGUAGAUGAGUUUCGCAGUCGAGGGAUGAGCUGAUAGCUAGACGAGGAGAUGGUCGCUGUGAUGGGAAGAGCUUGAAGACGAGCUGAGGAGCUUGAGGACGAGCUGAGGAGCUUGAAGAGCUUAAAGGCG
rnacentral:sRNA from 1 species